GAACAACUAAGGCAGUUUCAAUCCCAAUUUAGUAGCCCUAAUAAUUAACAGGCAGAUCUUGUUGCCACUUGAACACUAAUUGUAUAAUGCUGUAUCAGGUAGUGGCUGUUUAUCUGAAGCUUACAGAUGCAAUAUAGUGUUUUCCCCUAAAACAGCAGUGGGAGGACAGCAGGGAGAAGUGUGUUUUCUGUGUCUGAAUUGUUAUGUUGGGAUGAGGAGUGGGGAAGCAAUGGAAUAUUUAUCUGUCUGCGUGAGGAAGUGAACAGGCAGAUUUGGGAAACGUUUUGGGGGCUUGAGACAGACAGGAGGAGGUGUAAAGCAAGAAUUUAGGAGUCUGCAGCAUAACAUACCCUAAGAAAUGAUGGGGAAGAAUUGGUGCUUGGCACAGAAAUAGUUUCUUACUGAUGCAGAGGAUUAACACUAUAUUUUCUGCAGCUAGAAGUCUGAUGAAGCCUGUUUGACCAAGAGCAGGGCUGGAAGAGGCUGCAAAAGGACACAGCAGGUAGAGGGAGGUAUGUUUGCAGAUUGUUCUGUUUAAAGACAUUUUCCUCUAGUUGCUGUUGUAAUAGCUUAUCAUCCACAAGGACUUUACGUGGUCACAUUGAGGAAACGGUGCAGGCUGAAUCAUGUCAGAAGCCUGGCCAGUUCACACAGAGAAACAGGAAGAAAAGUCCUGAAGAUGUCACUAGUCUCAGAGCUAUUCAGAGGCUGCAUUCUCUGAGCAACCAUCUGAGUAUGGAAUGCGCUACAGUAAGUCACAGAAAGCGUGCUAAAAACAUUUUAGUCAUCACAAUCUCUCAAAUCCACUUAGUCUUCUGAAGAAAACUUCUCUGACGUCUGACAGUAUGAUUGUUUCCCAAACUCACAAUCUAAAGCUGACUACAAGUGAGCUUCAGCCUGCUUCACCUGGCAGCCCAGUGUCACCCUCAGCUGUGCUUCCUUCUAGAGCUC
rnacentral:lncRNA from 1 species